AUGGGAUGGGAGGAAGCGUUUUCCCCUCCUUGUUCUUCCCCGCGGUCGGCGGCGGCCAGAGCUUCGACCAGUCCAGGAGUCAUGCUCAGAACCCGCCACCUGUUCGACGAAAUGCACAAGAAGGCUGUUGACACAGGCAUGGAUCCUUUUCGCGUCCUCUCCGACGAUGUGCUCGAGCACAUCCUUUCCCUUAUGCCGGGGGAUGAAGCCCUACAGACUUGCGUGCUCGGUACCCAGUGGCGUGACCUCUGGAGGCGCAAAACCAACUUGCGCUUCAUCUUUGAGAACUGGUCAAGUUUUAGUGGCGAGCGCUUCAAUAAAUUGGUGAAGCUGAUAAUCCAUCUUAGGGGGGAUGCAUCUCUGACCAACUGCCAUAUCAAUCCCUACAGUGAUGAGGACUAUAUCAAUUUCACAGAAGCCAAGCUGUUGGUCGAGUACGUUCUAAAGUGCCGGGUUGAGAAGCUCUCGAUUUGUGCUAGUGAUAUUUUGUAUGAACCAUUACUAGUCGAUUCACCUCUCAUCUCCCGCCACUUGAGGACCAUAGAAUUUGGAUUCCUUGACCUCGUAAAUUCCUCAGUAGAUUUCUCGGGCUGCCCAGAAUUAGAGGAUCUAACAAUAGAAAGAUGCUACAUUGACGCAGGGAAGAUAUGUUCUAACUCACUAAAGUAUCUGCGGUUAGUUGGGAAUUGUACCUUCUCCGAGGAUAUCCACAUUCCUAUUGCUGCCCCGCGCCUUAUCUCACUGGAACUAGGUAGUUUUCAGUGCUUGUCUCCCUUCCUUGAAGAGAUGCCAUUACUGGAAAAAGCAUCUAUUUUGCUUGGCAAUGGGUGUUACAAUGUCUGUCAUAGUGACCGUAAAUGCAGUGGAUGUUCUCACAAGAAGUGUCUGCUUCUCAAUGGAUUAUCCAAUGUUGUUGAUUUGAAAUUGAUUGCUGCGCCUGAAUUGCCUAUCUUCAAACGGGAUUUGGAAUGGUGCCCUAAAUUUGACAAAUUAAAGACUCUGAAACUCAAUGAUUGGUUUACGGCUACUGACCUAGUUUGCAUUCUCCAACACUCUCCAAAUCUUGAGAAGCUCACUCUUAAGAUCGAUUUCCCUGAGGUAUUUGAUUCAAAUAUGUUGAUGUAUUAG
rnacentral:rRNA from 1 species